UUAAGCGACUAAGCGUACACGGUGGAUGCCCUGGCAGUCAGAGGCGAUGAAGGACGUGCUAAUCUGCGAUAAGCGUCGGUAAGGUGAUAUGAACCGUUAUAACCGGCGAUUUCCGAAUGGGGAAACCCAGUGUGAUUCGUCACACUAUCAUUAACUGAAUCCAUAGGUUAAUGAGGCGAACCGGGGGAACUGAAACAUCUAAGUACCCCGAGGAAAAGAAAUCAACCGAGAUUCCCCCAGUAGCGGCGAGCGAACGGGGAGGAGCCCAGAGCCUGAAUCAGUGUGUGUGUUAGUGGAAGCGUCUGGAAAGGCGCGCGAUACAGGGUGACAGCCCCGUACACAAAAAUGCACAUAUUGUGAGCUCGAUGAGUAGGGCGGGACACGUGGUAUCCUGUCUGAAUAUGGGGGGACCAUCCUCCAAGGCUAAAUACUCCUGACUGACCGAUAGUGAACCAGUACCGUGAGGGAAAGGCGAAAAGAACCCCGGCGAGGGGAGUGAAAAAGAACCUGAAACCGUGUACGUACAAGCAGUGGGAGCACAGAGCAAUCUGUGUGACUGCGUACCUUUUGUAUAAUGGGUCAGCGACUUAUAUUCUGUAGCAAGGUUAACCGAAUAGGGGAGCCGAAGGGAAACCGAGUCUUAACUGGGCGUUAAGUUGCAGGGUAUAGACCCGAAACCCGGUGAUCUAGCCAUGGGCAGGUUGAAGGUUGGGUAACACUAACUGGAGGACCGAACCGACUAAUGUUGAAAAAUUAGCGGAUGACUUGUGGCUGGGGGUGAAAGGCCAAUCAAACCGGGAGAUAGCUGGUUCUCCCCGAAAGCUAUUUAGGUAGCGCCUCGUGAAUUCAUCUCCGGGGGUAGAGCACUGUUUCGGCAAGGGGGUCAUCCCGACUUACCAACCCGAUGCAAACUGCGAAUACCGGAGAAUGUUAUCACGGGAGACACACGGCGGGUGCUAACGUCCGUCGUGAAGAGGGAAACAACCCAGACCGCCAGCUAAGGUCCCAAAGUCAUGGUUAAGUGGGAAACGAUGUGGGAAGGCCCAGACAGCCAGGAUGUUGGCUUAGAAGCAGCCAUCAUUUAAAGAAAGCGUAAUAGCUCACUGGUCGAGUCGGCCUGCGCGGAAGAUGUAACGGGGCUAAACCAUGCACCGAAGCUGCGGCAGCGACGCUUAUGCGUUGUUGGGUAGGGGAGCGUUCUGUAAGCCUGCGAAGGUGUGCUGUGAGGCAUGCUGGAGGUAUCAGAAGUGCGAAUGCUGACAUAAGUAACGAUAAAGCGGGUGAAAAGCCCGCUCGCCGGAAGACCAAGGGUUCCUGUCCAACGUUAAUCGGGGCAGGGUGAGUCGACCCCUAAGGCGAGGCCGAAAGGCGUAGUCGAUGGGAAACAGGUUAAUAUUCCUGUACUUGGUGUUACUGCGAAGGGGGGACGGAGAAGGCUAUGUUGGCCGGGCGACGGUUGUCCCGGUUUAAGCGUGUAGGCUGGUUUUCCAGGCAAAUCCGGAAAACUAAGGCUGAGGCGUGAUGACGAGGCACUACGGUGCUGAAGCAACAAAUGCCCUGCUUCCAGGAAAAGCCUCUAAGCAUCAGGUAACAUCAAAUCGUACCCCAAACCGACACAGGUGGUCAGGUAGAGAAUACCAAGGCGCUUGAGAGAACUCGGGUGAAGGAACUAGGCAAAAUGGUGCCGUAACUUCGGGAGAAGGCACGCUGAUAUGUAGGUGAAGUGACUUGCUCGUGGAGCUGAAAUCAGUCGAAGAUACCAGCUGGCUGCAACUGUUUAUUAAAAACACAGCACUGUGCAAACACGAAAGUGGACGUAUACGGUGUGACGCCUGCCCGGUGCCGGAAGGUUAAUUGAUGGGGUCAGCGCAAGCGAAGCUCUUGAUCGAAGCCCCGGUAAACGGCGGCCGUAACUAUAACGGUCCUAAGGUAGCGAAAUUCCUUGUCGGGUAAGUUCCGACCUGCACGAAUGGCGUAAUGAUGGCCAGGCUGUCUCCACCCGAGACUCAGUGAAAUUGAACUCGCUGUGAAGAUGCAGUGUACCCGCGGCAAGACGGAAAGACCCCGUGAACCUUUACUAUAGCUUGACACUGAACAUUGAGCCUUGAUGUGUAGGAUAGGUGGGAGGCUUUGAAGUGUGGACGCCAGUCUGCAUGGAGCCGACCUUGAAAUACCACCCUUUAAUGUUUGAUGUUCUAACGUUGACCCGUGAUCCGGGUUGCGGACAGUGUCUGGUGGGUAGUUUGACUGGGGCGGUCUCCUCCUAAAGAGUAACGGAGGAGCACGAAGGUUGGCUAAUCCUGGUCGGACAUCAGGAGGUUAGUGCAAUGGCAUAAGCCAGCUUGACUGCGAGCGUGACGGCGCGAGCAGGUGCGAAAGCAGGUCAUAGUGAUCCGGUGGUUCUGAAUGGAAGGGCCAUCGCUCAACGGAUAAAAGGUACUCCGGGGAUAACAGGCUGAUACCGCCCAAGAGUUCAUAUCGACGGCGGUGUUUGGCACCUCGAUGUCGGCUCAUCACAUCCUGGGGCUGAAGUAGGUCCCAAGGGUAUGGCUGUUCGCCAUUUAAAGUGGUACGCGAGCUGGGUUUAGAACGUCGUGAGACAGUUCGGUCCCUAUCUGCCGUGGGCGCUGGAGAACUGAGGGGGGCUGCUCCUAGUACGAGAGGACCGGAGUGGACGCAUCACUGGUGUUCGGGUUGUCAUGCCAAUGGCACUGCCCGGUAGCUAAAUGCGGAAGAGAUAAGUGCUGAAAGCAUCUAAGCACGAAACUUGCCCCGAGAUGAGUUCUCCCUGACUCCUUGAGAGUCCUGAAGGAACGUUGAAGACGACGACGUUGAUAGGCCGGGUGUGUAAGCGCAGCGAUGCGUUGAGCUAACCGGUACUAAUGAACCGUGAGGCUUAACCUU
rnacentral:rRNA from 1 species